rnacentral:tRNA from 1 species
AUUACUUUGGCAGAUAAGUGCAAUGGGUUUAGAAUUCAUUAAUGUGGAUUGGUUCUAUAAGUAAUG